rnacentral:misc_RNA from 1 species
AAGGAUCAUUACCGUAGGGGGCUUUUGCCCCCGAUAACCCAUAACCCUUGUCUAUGAGCACCCUCGUUUCCUCGGCAGGUCCGCCUGCCAAUGGGGACAACACCAAACCUUUUUGUAGUAGUAGUAACCGUAAACAAACAAAAAAUCAAAACUUUCAACAACGGAUCUCUUGGUUCUG